rnacentral:lncRNA from 1 species
AGACAAAAAAAUUAAUCACGUCAAAAAUGUUUAUGAAUGAAUCAGUCAUCAAAUUCUGAUGUGUUUUUAGGUGAGAUAACAUCGGUGUCAACAGCGAUCCCGAGCUCAUGAGAAAAGUUUUCAUCAGAGUGGGAAGUAAAUGAGAGAAAUCAGUCUUAUCCAAGCCUUUUUUUCCAGAGGUCAAGUGAGGCUUACAAUGGCUACCAGCGGUGUCUCUUUAGAUUGGAAGCUUGCUGUAGUUGUAUUUCCGAAAUAAAUGUGGCACAGGACAGUGCCUGAAUAUAAUUUGGGGAUAAUUGAAAAAGGCAAGGAAAUCAUCCCUGAUUAAAUUUGUAAAUGGCUGUCUGGAGCACCAUUAUAAUUUAUGAGGAUUUCUUGCUCAGAGAGUAAAUAAUACCAGUGACAGCAUUUCCUCAGAGAACAGAAGAUCAAAUCUGUUGCAAAGUAAGUGCCAAUACUUCCCCUCAAAAACACAGCAGAGGAGACAGAGGUAAUAAAGGAUGCUCCAUUUGUUUCAAUGCUUAUGACCCUCCUGACUGCUUAAGAGCAAAGAGACAGGAUUUAACUCUUGCAUUGCAGUGAGACUACUACAUAUUCGUGCUGUGCAUACAAUGGUCUGAAAUUCUUGAAGAAUGUAAAUUGAUAAAGUAAGUUGUUUAGGUAAGUGGGCCCCUUACAAUCACACCUGCCAUUCUGACAUAUGGACCGGUGUUAGCUAGUUUCAUGUAAUAA